UACGGGGGGGGCAAGCGUUGUUCGGAAUUACUGGGCGUAAAGGGCUCGUAGGCGGCCAACUAAGUCAGACGUGAAAUCCCUCGGCUUAACCGGGGAACUGCGUCUGAUACUGGACGGCUUGAGUUCGGGAGAGGGAUGCGGAAUUCCAGGUGUAGCGGUGAAAUGCGUAGAUAUCUGGAGGAACACCGGUGGCGAAGGCGGCUAUCUGGGCUGUAACUGACGCUGAGGCGCGAAGGCUAGGGUAGCAAACAGG
rnacentral:rRNA from 1 species